GUUUCGAUGGUGUAGUGGUUAUCACAUCCAUCUAACAGGGGGGGGGUGUUCGGUUCAAAUCUGGGCGGAGACA